GAUGAACGCUGGCGGCGUGCCUAAUACAUGCAAGUCGAGCGAACGGACGAGAAUCUUGCUUCUCUGAUGUUAGCGGCGGACGGGUGAGUAACACGUGGAUAACCUACCUAUAAGACUGGGAUCACUUCGGGAAACCGGCUCUAAUACCGUAUAAUCUUUUGAACCGCAUGGUUCAAAAGUGAAAUACGGUCUUGCUGUCACUUCUAGAUGGAUCCGCGCUGCUUUAGAUAGUUGGUAAGGUAACGGCCUACCAAGGCAACGAUGCGUAGACGACCGGAGAGAGUGAUAGGCGACACUGGAACUGGGACACGGUCCAGACGACUACGGGAGGCAGCAGUAGGGAAUCGUACGCAAUGGGCGAAAGUAUGGCGGAGCAACGGCGCGUGAGUGAUGAAGGUCUUCGGAUCGUAAAACUCUGUUAUUAGGGAAGAACAGAUGUGUAAGUAACUGUGCACAUCGUGACGGUACCGAAUCAGAAAGCCACGGCUAACUACGUG
rnacentral:rRNA from 1 species